AUUGAACGCUGGCGGCAGGCUUAACACAUGCAAGUCGAGCGGGGGAAGGUAGCUUGCUACUGGACCUAGCGGCGGACGGGUGAGUAAUGCUUAGGAAUCUGCCUAUUAGUGGGGGACAACAUCUCGAAAGGGAUGCUAAUACCGCAUACGUCCUACGGGAGAAAGCAGGGGAUCUUCGGACCUUGCGCUAAUAGAUGAGCCUAAGUCGGAUUAGCUAGUUGGUGGGGUAAAGGCCUACCAAGGCGACGAUCUGUAGCGGGUCUGAGAGGAUGAUCCGCCACACUGGGACUGAGACAUGGCCCAGACUCCUACGGGAGGCAGCAGUGGGGAAUAUUGGACAAUGGGGGAACCCUGAUCCAGCCAUGCGGCGUGUGUGAAGAAGGCCUUAUGGUUGUAAAGCACUUUAAGCGAGGAGGAGGCUACUUUAGUUAAUACCUAGAGAUAGUGGACGUUACUCGCAGAAUAAGCACCGGCUAACUCUGUGCCAGCAGCCGCCGCGG
rnacentral:rRNA from 1 species